ensembl:miRNA
GUGGCUGCUGGUAUCGCUGGCUCUGACAAUGUUGCACUACUGUCUGCACAAAUAAAGCAGUGCAAUAAUAUUGUCAAAGCAUUUGGUUCCAGUCCUA